UACGAAGGGGGGCUAGCGUUGCUCGGAAUCACUGGGCGUAAAGGGUGCGUAGGCGGGUCUUUAAGUCAAGGGGUGAAAUCCUGGAGCUCAACUCCAGAACUGCCUUUGAUACUGAGGAUCUUGAGUUCGGGAGAGGUGAGUGGAACUGCGAGUGUAGAGGUGAAAUUCGUAGAUAUUCGCAAGAACACCAGUGGCGAAGGCGGCUCACUGGCCCGAUACUGACGCUGAGGCACGAAAGCGUGGGGAGCAAACAGG
rnacentral:rRNA from 1 species